UGCGAUACAGGGUGACAGCCCCGUACACAAAAAUGCACAUAUUGUGAGCUUGAUGAGUAGGGCGGGACACGUGGUAUCCUGUCUGAAUAUGGGGGGACCAUCCUCCAAGGCUAAAUACUCCUGACUGACCGAUAGUGAACCAGUACCGUGAGGGAAAGGCGAAAAGAACCCCGGCGAGGGGAGUGAAAAAGAACCUGAAACCGUGUACGUACAAGCAGUGGGAGCACGCUUAGGCGUGUGACUGCGUACCUUUUGUAUAAUGGGUCAGCGACUUAUAUUCUGUAGCAAGGUUAACCGAAUAGGGGAGCCGAAGGGAAACCGAGUCUUAACUGGGCGUUAAGUUGCAGGGUAUAGACCCGAAACCCGGUGAUCUAGCCAUGGGCAGGUUGAAGGUUGGGUAACACUAACUGGAGGACCGAACCGACUAAUGUUGAAAAAUUAGCGGAUGACUUGUGGCUGGGGGUGAAAGGCCAAUCAAACCGGGAGAUAGCUGGUUCUCCCCGAAAGCUAUUUAGGUAGCGCCUCGUGAAUUCAUCUCCGGGGGUAGAGCACUGUUUCGGCAAGGGGGUCAUCCCGACUUACCAACCCGAUGCAAACUGCGAAUACCGGAGAAUGUUAUCACGGGAGACACACGGCGGGUGCUAACGUCCGUCGUGAAGAGGGAAACAACCCAGACCGCCAGCUAAGGUCCCAAAGUCAUGGUUAAGUGGGAAACGAUGUGGGAAGGCCCAGACAGCCAGGAUGUUGGCUUAGAAGCAGCCAUCAUUUAAAGAAAGCGUAAUAGCUCACUGGUCGAGUCGGCCUGCGCGGAAGAUGUAACGGGGCUAAACCAU
rnacentral:rRNA from 1 species